GCAGACUGUGGCUGAGUCGGUCGAGAACCUGCUUGACGUGCAGAAGGCCCCAGGUUCAAUCCCCGGCGUCUCCA
rnacentral:tRNA from 1 species